rnacentral:lncRNA from 1 species
GUGCGGCAAAUGUAUGAUAGUGAUAAUUAAGCACAUAUUUGACCUUGGGAUGAUCAAGGUUAGGAGAGAUCGGGGUGUAUACAACUUGGAAUGUGUGGAAUUUUUUGUACAAAAGAAGAAUAAUGACAGGAAGAUCUUCCUCUUCUUUUUGCGUAGCUUGCAAUGUUGAGGCUUAGAAAUAGGCUGCUUCACUAGUUAUCUAGCAACAGUUACAGAUGGUCACACCUUUUCUUAUGUAUAAUUACGUUCAUUCAUGUAGUCGGGGACUAGUGGUACAAUGUGGAAAUAAUUUUUCAGAUGACCACUAAAUUCCUGUAAUUCAACUUACGUUUAUCCACUCUGUACAACUCCUCUUUCAAAUUUCUCUUGCACAUGGAAGAACAGGCAAAUCUACCAGCCAUACCUUGGAUGGAUAUGCUUUACAUAUCACUUGAAAGGCACUAGUACUAGGCCAUCCUUCCUUCCAGAUAUCUCUGCGGGCAACAGAAAGGUGGAAAGGGGAACCAUCACCAUGUUUACGAUUUAACUGUAAAAAAGCGUGGUCAAGGCAAAGCAUGAGAGCAUGGCAUGCCAGCGACGGCACCGCCACCAUCAUCUCCUCCACUGCAAGCGGCAGGCUUUUUACCUCUGUACUGUGCAGGUGAGGUGAUCGAUGGAGAUCACUUGAGUUGAGCAUGCCCUCUUUGCGUAGAGAUAAAGAAAGCAUAACUAGAACUAGGGUGAAAGUAUGUCGCUAACCUUUUUCUCCCCCAGGCGAAUGAUGAUUCCAAGCUUCACGAGCCUUCCCUCCUUCCUGUAGACUAGAAUGGAGACGCUCUGGAAGUGAAUGAGGACGGUGGGUCUCCUUGGUGACGCCAUGAUUGCUUCCCUUCAUGAUUCCUCUCUGAAGACGCCAUGGCCUCGGCCAAUCUCAAGCAUACCGGGUUUUGGACAGAAAGUGAAUCCAUUUCUGUGCCGUAUAAACAAAGGGAUGAGGUUCCCAACAACAAUUCGGUCAAAAAUAAAAGAAGGUUCCCAACAACAACGAUUUUCAGUGUAUACAUUUAAAAGAAGAGAACGUAUUUCCCGCUUUUAUGAACCCUCGCGGGCUCGCGGCCCACGCCAUUGCAACCACACGUUCACACACUACCCAAUACAAAAGCAUAACAUGUUUCAAAGGUACAGAGCACUAGGCUACAUAUAUUUGUUGAAUCAAGAUAAAUCUUUGAAGUACCAAAAAUGCAGUAUGUUCCUGCCGUAACGAUGCACGAGCAGCAUGCUACUUCAUACAGUAAUUCACCUUUAAAAGUUCCCUCAUUUCAUUAUAGUUUUUUUUCCUUCAAAACAAAGUAUCUAUGGGGGGCUGCUGCAUGUUGUCGUAUGAAUUCGUAACUGAGAACAACCAAAAUACAAGCUUGGCUUGUGCGAACAUCAUCUGUCCCUCAAAAACCACUUGGACAAAAUUUUACACUUACUGUUGAACUUCAAAAACAGUGAUGCUACAGUGAUGGGAGCUAAAGCCCUGUCAUUCCUUGCAUAUGCUUCCUCAGCGCCUGAUCCCUCCGGUUAUGAUUCCGGCCGCCUCUCCUUCCGCCGCCUCCACGGGGGCCUGGCCCUCCUCGAGCGAAACCUUGUGCUGCAUUACGGUCUUCAUUGUCCUCACUGGAUCAUCAUGGUUCCUGUCCCCUCUUCGUGCACCACGACCAAAAC